rnacentral:lncRNA from 1 species
AGCCUCCCGAUUUAGACUCAGCCUCAAUUAACUGGAACCUCCCAAGCCCCCUUUUCUGAUCCUUCGGGGCCAAGGGCAGACGGGCCCAACCCCACCACCCCGCACGGGCCAGCUCCUGCCCAGAAAAGGUGCCCCCAGCCCUUGUCCCGGACACUCUAGGUACCCCUCCCCAGCAGCGCACGAGGGGCGGGGACCCCAGGGCUCCCAGCUUUCUGGAGACGCCCUGCAUUGGUAUUCUCGUCCCUCGCAGCCCAAAUUACACGGCCUCUCCUGGGACCCUUUCAUUGCACGCUGUCGCUCCAGCAAAAGGUUAUGCACGAGAACAUCGAAAUCCCUCCCGCAUAUUAACGAAAAGGCGUCUUUUAAAUGCGCAGGGAAAAGCGGCCAAUUUUACAGUAUCUGAGAUGCGGACGGGCGGGCGCUGGGCCCUGGGCAGGGCGUGGAGGACAGGGGGCUGUGGCAUGUCCUGUCUCCUCUCCCUGGGGCCCUGACCGCGGGGCAGCUGCCCGGCACCUCUCCUCCUCCCCAGGCGGGUCCCCACCUGUGCACCCUUCCUUUCAUUUUAUUUUUGGGGGCGUCUGGAGCAUGGCUGGAAAACACCUUCAAAACCCAGUUUGAAUCAGCUUCUCAGUUCCGGCAGCUUCCAGAUGCGUUUCAAAGAUAUUUCAAAUCUGCCCAAGAUCAAUGCAAGCUGGGGUGCCGGGACGGGAACCCCGGUGCGAGUGGGGGUGCCAGGGGACAAACCGGACAGAGCGGGGACCGCAGAGACGCAGGCGGCCCCGUCUCAGCUCCACCUGCGGGGGCUGACGGGCCUGCGGGCGGCACUACGACCCUCCAGCUAGAAGAGAAGCCCGAAGUGGGAUGUUUAUACGAAAUCCCAUGUUAUUUUUUAAACCCUGUGCUGGCCAAACAGCGCCCAUCUAAGGGCCUCAGCCAGCGACAGCCCCGCGCAGGAGCACAGAGGAGAGCAGUCUGCUCAGAGGCGGUGGGGGCUGGGGCGGGACCACAGGAUGAAGCGGGGGGGGGAGGGAGGACGAGGUCCCCCAGGUCGGUCCCCUCCUGGGUCAGGCCAGGCCCGAGAUGAUGUGAGCCCCGCGCAGCUGCCCAGGUGCCCAAGGAGGGCGCCCCUGCCUCCCAUCACAGCCGCUCCCUCCGGUCACCGCAACGGGACCCCCGAUGCCGGGAACCCUGUGGGGAAGCCCGUCCUGCCAGGCCCACAGUCAUCCCAGCCUGGCUUCUUACGGGUCCUGGCGGCCUUGACCCACAGGGGCCUGCUUCCUCCAAGCCUCGGCUUCUUCAUCCGUAAAGUGCACAUGACAGGAAAUACCUAAGUGCUCGGGGCCCAGUGGCAGGAGGCUUGCAGAGGAAGCUCAACAGCAGGUUCCGGGCAUCCUUCCCGCGUCUCCCGCCCUCCCCACCCCUCCCCCUGCUCUGUGCUGGGCUUUCUUUCAGGGGAUUAGCAUCUUCUGGGCUUUCUCCUUCCUUUUGGGCCACACCCACGGCGCAUGGAAGUUCCCGGGCCAGGGAUGGACGAGCCACCUGAGCCGCAGCCGCAACCUGCGUCCCAACUGCGGCUACUCAAAGUCUUAACCCACUGCGACGGGCUGGGGAUCGAACUCCUGCCUCUGCAGAGACAACGUGGGAUCUUUAACCUGCUGGCCACAGCAGGAACUCCCUGCUGAGCUAUAAUUACUGGUCCCAGGACCACCCUCCCCCCAGGAGGGAGUGAAGUCCGAGGGCCCUGCUCCCUCUGGAGUGCCAGGCAGCUCGGAGGGGCGGGAGGGGCGGGGUGCUGUCCAGUCCACGCAGCACGAGUAAGGAUCAGCAGAGUCAGAGUUCUCGGCAGGGGCAGAGGGCUACUCCCUGAUGGGUCUCGCUGCCCCAGGGGAUCCCGGCUGGUCCCUGCCUCUCCCCACGUCAACCCCAGCGUCCCCACCUCCAAGCCUUGGCGCCAGCCGUGCGCCUGGUGCCGAGCAGCCACCUUCAGAAUAAACCCUUCACAGCAGUCAAGGCCCAGGGUCUCUCGGCCUCUGUGCCACCUCCGCCACCUGCCCUGCAGAGCCUCUGGUCCCUUCCUGCUCCAGGCCUGCUUCGGGGUACACCCGCGCCCCUCCUCCUCCUCCAGGAAGCCCACCGUGACUCUCUGGGGCAGGGCCUGGGUGUGCUGUCAGCCGCGUGGGAAGGAAAUGAGUCUGACCUGUGACCCCCGGUGCCCAUCAGAUGCCCACCCAGCCCAGCAGCGGGGGCAGCUGGGAACGCGGCUGUUCGUGCAGGAAGACAGGCAGGCUGACCGUUCCGUCGGGGCCCAGCAGCCCCGUGGGUGAGCCUUCUGCUCCCACACCCUCACCCCUAAGCGAACAAGGCCAGGCGGGUGCAGACAUGCACGAGGCUGGCACCAGGCACAGACCGAGGGUCAAGGCCGGACACAGAGGCCAGUUACUACGACCCCUGGGUUACAGCUUUCGAGCCAAGAGGCUGCACACUGGGGCCUGGGGCCUGGAUCUGACCGCUGGUGAGUUGCUGGAUUAGGGAACAGCACACCCAAACCUGGAGAUGUCACGUAAGCACCCAGGUCCUGGGUCCCUAGGUGGCGGGACAGGACACCUGACCGUGUCCCCCGUCCCACC